rnacentral:rRNA from 1 species
AGCAUGUGCGCGAGUCAUUGGGACAAACCUAAAGGCGAAAUGAAAGUGAAGGUCCGCCUUGGACCUAGGGAGGAUUGGUCGUCCUCGACCACGCACUCCCGGGGCGUCUCGCUCUCAUUGCGAGAAGAGGCGCACCUAGAGCGUACACGCUGGGACCCGAAAGAUGGUGAACUAUGCCUGGUCAGGACGAAGUCAGGGGAAACCCUGAUGGAGGUCCGUAGCGAUUCUGACGUGCAAAUCGAUCGUCGGAACUGGGUAUAGGGGCGAAAGACUAAUCGAACCAUCUAGUAGCUGGUUCCCUCCGAAGUUUCCCUCAGGAUAGCUGGCGCUCGCCGCGUGCGAGUCUCAUCUGGUAAAGCGAAUGAUUAGAGGCAUUGGGGUCGAAACGGCCUCAACCUAUUCUCAAACUUUAAAUGGGUGAGAUCUCCGGCUUGCUUGAACGUGAAGCCGCGAGAUUUCGGAUCAGAGUGCCAAGUGGGCCACUUUUG